CCUACGGGAGGCAGCAGUGAGGAAUAUUGGUCAAUGGGCGAGAGCCUGAACCAGCCAAGUCGCGUGAAGGAUGAAGGAUCUCUGGUUUGUAAACUUCUUCUAUAUGGGAGUAAAGUGAGGAACGUGUUCCUUUUUGUAUGUACCAUAUGAAUAAGCAUCGGCUAACUCCGUGCCAGCAGCCGCGGUACUACGGAGGAUGCGAGCGUUAUCCGGAUUUAUUGGGUUUAAAGGGUGCGUAGGUGGUUAAUUAAGUCAGCGGUGAAAGUUUGUGGCUCAACCAUAAAAUUGCCGUUGAAACUGGUUGACUUGAGUAUAUGUGAGGUAGGCGGAAUGCGUGGUGUAGCGGUGAAAUGCAUAGAUAUCACGCAGAACUCCGAUUGCGAAGGCAGCUUACUAAACUAUAACUGACACUGAAGCACGAAAGCGUGGGGAGCAAACAGGAUUAGAUACCCCUGUAGUC
rnacentral:rRNA from 1 species